rnacentral:lncRNA from 1 species
UUAUUCUCAAUUCUAAAAGGAAGAUACUUUGGGAGCUUCAAAAAUUUGGGUCUUUUCUGUAUUGAGAAGUUGUAGGUCAGGGGAGCAGUGGAUGAUCCUGUAAAUUUACCUUAAAAUGGUUUUCUAGAUGCAUCUGUUUGACUGUUUGCAGAGGCACACAGAACAUGGGAUUCAGGAGUGGAUUAGACUUCGACGUGCUAGAAAUUGUCGAGAGAGCAGGGGCCAUGUUUACUAACUCAGUUGGUAUUGCAUGAUGAGGCUGUCUCAAGGGCAGUCUGAUGCUAUUGUUGAAUGGAUCUCAAGACACCUACUGUAAGCUAUGGAAACACUGUAUGACCCCUACCACUGAUAUGGCCACAUCAUUGUAAAGGAGAAAGCAAGUAGCAGGGAAAGUUGGUGGUUCUUAUGUGAAAGUAAUUUCAUUCAUCAUCACAGCAGAUGGUACAUAGCAAUACUGCUGUGACGAACUGGUUAUAGUGACAGGUGAGUGAUAGUCUGUAGAAUGUGGGUUCCCAGAAGCUUUUCUAAAAAUCAGUAUUACCAUUUCUAUGCCCCUCAAGCAAUCACAUCCUUCUAUUAUAUCUGUCUGUUACUCCACAAAUUAUAACUUUCAUCCCUUUAAGACUUCUUGAGCACUGUUAAAAAUUCCUUAGGAUGGUCCACAUUUAGCUUUAUCUGGCAUCUCCACCUUUUGAAGAGGCAUUUGGACUUCUCCUAAAGAGUUAGUGUAAUGGAGCAAAUGUUAUUAUUAUAUAUUUGUAUUCACAAUCUUACCCUACUCCAGGUUCUAAGGAGGACUCUUUGCCUCCUCCUGAAAAGAUAAUGAGUUGCCAAGAACUAGAUGAACUAGCAGACACCUAGAGAGGGCAAAGUGAUUUACAUUAGAAGAAAUUCAUGAACAAAGAGGGACUGGAAAAAAGUUGAAAAAGGAAAGAGCCCAUUAAAGGUAAAGAUUUUCGUGGAAUGUUUAGAAGAGAGAUUUGGGGGUGGUGUGAAAAUUGCUAUGAAGAGGUACCAGAGGUAGAUUUUCCAUGAAAUUCUCACUGGUACUGACCCCCUCCAAGUCCUUCAGGCCUGAAUAAUGUCUUUACAUAUUCAUUAUAUAUCUUUCUUAUUUUCAGAGCACCCGUGCCCCACCC